UCGCGGGCCGCGGGCCACCCGCUCGGUCGGUACCGUACGGUGGCGCCCCGUAUAGUCGGCGGCCGCUCGUGCCGUAUACCGCGUAAAUAUAAUAUUACGUUGUGAAAUAUAACGAUAUUAUGUUAUCGUUGUGGCGACCCGCGACAUUUAUAUAAUAUGUACCAACUGCGCGCUCUGCACGGUUCCUAACUUUUUGUCCUUACGAAUUAUAUCUUAUAUUUUUGUGAAUCGUUUUGUUUUUCCUGAGUAACCUAUCGUUUUUAGUUUUUACGUUUAACAUGCCGUGUAUUAUGCCGAAACGACGAUGAAAUGACGAAUGUGUUCGGCGCUCUUUACGUCUCAAAACUAUAAUCCAUUAUAAUCAGAUGUGUAUUAGCACAAGAAUCUCUUCAAGGAAGGAAUCACAAAUUUCAGGCUGGUAAUGAAGAUGUUUGAGACAGUAGACUUACAUACACUUCCCAUGUUCACUUGAGCAAACCAAUACAAUGUUGGGCAGUUAGAGGUCCACAAGUGUUCACGGUGAUGUAAAAGCCAUGGCAUUUAAUUUACCAUCACCAGUAUUGAGUUGAUUUAAAAAAUACAAAUAUGAGGAUGUAUUCAACUACUUUGGAUCAAAUAAAAAAACCAAAGGAAUCCGUGAUUUAUUUUAUGCAUCAUUUCAACAUUGCGUAAUGAUUAUUACAGUCUCAUUAAAAGAAAACAAUGUAUUGAUAGAUCAGUUCCACCUUAAUAAGUGAUGAUGAGACAAGUAGAAAAAAAAUAUGCCAGUAUGUACCGGAAUUGCCAUACAAUUUAAUUGUUAACUUGGUGGAGCCCCAUGGCGUGUUUUUAUCCCUGAAAAGAGUAUGAUGAUUUUUGGAUUUGACGUCUGCCACGAUAAGCAAAAUAAAUCUUGUGGUGCAUUAGUAGCCACAAUGAAAGACAGCUACACGGCUUACUUCAGCUGUGUUCAACCACAUGCAAAUAAGCAGGAAAUUUCAAGCUAUUUUUCAAUGAGCAUUACUAGUUCGAUGUCAACCUGAUCUCUCAACAUUUAACAAAGGAAACAGUAACAUCAACUCACUAUAUUGUAAUUGAUUGUGGAUACUUUCAAUGAAACUAAUUCUGCCAAUAUUACACCAGAAAUUAUGCAAAAACUUACCUAAAUUAAAUGACAUGGUUUUUGCUAUCUGAAGUAGAUUCUUAAAAAAUUGUCUAACCACCAUUUAUUUGUGGACCUAGUACUGCCCAAUGUUGUAUAGGUUUGAACAAGUAAACAUGAGUGGUUUACGUAGUGGACUCUCCAAUAAUCAUCAUUACUAGCUAUACAUCAAAUCUGUGCUUUCUUCCUUGAAGUGAUUG